AUAGUUUUGUUAUUGUCGCUGUUGUUGUUGUAUUUCCUUCCCUCGUCCCCCUCACGGGAUAAAAGUGGCGUAGGAAGAAAAACACACACACGCCAUCCCCGUCCGCCUUCCUCCCGAGCCCCUCAGAUUUUAUUCAAGCACCCGACCGCCCCCCUCCUCCUCCUCCUCCUCCUUCCUCCCCGCCUCGCUGCUCCCCGCGGGUUUUCCGCCCGCCCCCGGCCGGGCCCCGCCGUCCCUCUCCCUCACAGCGCCGCCCUCCGGCGACCUCCCCGCCGCGCCCCGGCCCCGACCCCCGCCGCUCCGUCCCCUCACGGCCCCGCUGCCUCAGCGGGGCCCGGCGGCAGGCGGGGCUCCCCCGCGGUGUGAGCCGCCGGGGAAGUGGCCUCAGGCCGCCCGGGCCGAGGCCGGGAGGCGCUGUCGGGAGGUGGCGGCCCGGCCCGGCCCGGCCCGGCCCGACCCAGCGGGGCUGCGGGUCACCUGCCUUCCCCCCGCCCCGGCCUCGCUGAGGGGAAACAGCGCGGGGAAUCGUCGCUGCUGGGCGUGGAAGAUGCGGAAAGGAACGGGGGUGUCUUCUAAAAGGGUGCAACGUGAAAAGAAGAAGCCUACUGCCAGGAUGCGCUCAGGACCUAGAAGCUGGCUGCAGGGCACCUACACUCAGGACCAGUUAAGGAAAUCCAUCUGCUUUCCAGAAGUAACAUUUGCAUCUGCUCAGCACUCUCUGCUUGUGAGAUCAAAAUGCACCUAG
rnacentral:lncRNA from 1 species